rnacentral:rRNA from 1 species
AAUAGAUACCCCGGUAGUCCACCCCGUAAACGUUGGGACUAGUUGUGGGGUCCAUUCCACGGAUUCCGUGACGCAGCUAACGCAUUAAGUUCCCCGCCUGGGGAGUACGGCCGCAAGGCUAAAACUCAAAGGAAUUGACGGGGACCCGCACAAGCGGCGGAGCAUGCGGAUUAAUUCGAUACAACGCGAAGAACCUUACCAAGGCUUGACAUAUACGAGAACGCUGCAGAAAUGUAGAACUCUUUGGACACUCGUAGACAGGUGGUGCAUGGUCGUCGUCAGCUCGUGUCGUGAGAUGUUGGGUUAAGUCCCGCAACGAGCGCAACCCUCGUUCUAUGUUGCCAGCACGUAAUGGUGGGAACUCAUGGGAUACUGCCGGGGUCAACUCGGAGGAAGGUGGGGAUGACGUCAAAUCAUCAUGCCCCUUAUGUCUUGGGCUUCACGCAUGCUACAAUGGCCGGUACAAAGGGCUGCAAUACCGUAAGGUGGAGCGAAUCCCAAAAAGCCGGUCCCAGUUCGGAUUGAGGUCUGCAACUCGA